rnacentral:rRNA from 1 species
UUUGACCUCAAUCAGAGAC